rnacentral:rRNA from 1 species
UACAGGGGUCUCAAGCGUUGUUCGGAUUCAUUGGGCGUAAAGGGUGCGUAGGUGGCGCUGUAAGUCAGGUGUGAAAUUUCGGAGCUUAACUCCGAAACUGCAUUUGAUACUGCGGUGCUCGAGGACUGGAGAGGAGACUGGAAUUUACGGUGUAGCAGUGAAAUGCGUAGAGAUCGUAAGGAAGACCAGUGGCGAAGGCGGAUCUCUGGACAGUUACUGACACUGAGGCACGAAGGCCAGGGGAGCAAACGGG